rnacentral:lncRNA from 1 species
GUUUCCCUCCGCCGGAUCAUUACAUCCCGCCGAUUUCUGGGUAGUUCUUGGUCGGUCGGUAUUGCUGGGCAGAGGGAAGCCCUGCAGAAAACGACAAUACCUGAGACGAUCUCUGCAACUAUGCAGCCAGCCAGCAGUAACUGGCAAUGCCCAAGGGCUACGAAUAGGCAUAGGACUGUGGAGGAGAGCAAAACAGCGGCUAUCAACGAUAAAUCGUAUUUUAAAGUGGGAAAAAGUGACUUCAUCAGUAGUGAGUGGUGUGAUUGCUUUUUGUUUGCGCAAAUCGCAGCACAAUUGCGACCGGCGCUGAUGUGACACGGCAAAGGUGCCGGGCAAGUCUACAGUUUAUGUAUGCUCCGGUCGGUCCUACCUAGACAUUCUCAGAUGUUGGUGAGGAAGCUGCCAGUUUCGUUGUGGACGUGCUUUGGAGAACGAUGAUUCAACACUAUGGGGGAAUGGAAUUCUGUGCUUUCCAUUAUUUAGCAAAAUCGUCUGUAUUAUGCAGACUGAUGACACAUAUAUGAUGAACCAUGACAUGAGAGAUAAACUACCCAGGUAUAUUGUAGGGGCCCUUGGGACGCAUUAUCGCUUCUUUGAAUUAACAAGAUAAACCGAAAACUCCGGCAAUCCAUGACAAGGACACAUUCAACUUAUAAUCACGGAAAGUGGGCCACAGCUGAAAGCACCAUUCAUCUCCAGCUGCAGCACUGGAUCAAAACCAGCAACAUGCAAAAGAAUAUUCCCAAGUGCCCUAGUGAACCACAAAUUGCACUCCGCGAUCAAUAUCCUUUCCCAUAAAACAUACAAAGCAAACCGAUAAAAAAGAGGCAUCUUUGAGCAGUUGAGCCCACACGCACCCUCGAUUCCGGAGUCCGAGACCCCAACGACAACGCCGGUGAGACCGUAUGAACGGUCAGUUAGCACGAAUCACAAAUCCCUUAGGGCAACCGCCGAGCCACCACCACCGAUUACAGUAGUGUUUCGAUUUCACGCCCCGAAAAAAAAAAUGUCUUGAAUUUAACGAAUCUGUUAAUUUAGUGAAACGAAAACUAAAUGUAUUAAUUUUGAUUCCACCACGUCACCAUUUUGGGCUACAGGUCUUCAAAGUUGUAUAAAAUACUGGUUUUAUUAAUGUUAAAAAAAUUAACAAGGAUUAUUAACAACUCAAUCCACCAAGCAUGCUAAAAUUGACUUUUGUAUAAGAUACAGUUUAAUAAGUUUACAUAUGGAUUCAGUGACCUCAAACUAAGUAAAAAGCAAUAUUUUGUCUUGUUUGUUUGUUUGUUUUGACUUGUUCAGCUGUGUAUUUUCAAAAUUUCUCAAUUCCUAUCACAAUAAUUAGUGUGACAUGCGUUAGAUAUCUCAAUUAAUUUCUAUAAUCAGAGAGUAUUCGUGAAAUGUUAAGAUUCCCUUACAUGAAGAAUGAGAAGACAAUGAGUUUAACGAGUAUAGGCCUGAUUGAAAGCAAAAAAGCUAUAACCCUCCCCGCUCAGCGAGUACUUAACGGAUUAAAUUUUUUUUUUUUUUUGUCAAUAUACUCGUAAACAUUGGGUAUAAAAACGUUUGGCAUAAGGAUGUUAGGCAUAAUGGACGUUAGGCAUAACAUAAUUUGUGUAUGCAUUUCACAUCUUUUUGAUCGGAAAAUAUUUAGGUUCCAUUGACAAAUUGUAUAACGCUUCAGGUGGUUAGUGGGUCUCCUUGAUAUGUUACAGAUUAUAAAAAGUCUGCAUACACAAACCGUUCCAGAAGGGUGUGUUGGGGUGUCAAAAAUUGCUAUUUUCCGCAUUUGUAAAUUUAAGAAUAAAGAAAUUUCAGAGAAUUUGAUCAGUGUUGUCAUUUUAAAAUGCAGCUCAACCAAUCUUUCUAAAUUUUCAGUACUCUUUUAGAUGUUCAAUUGAAGUAUAAUUUGAAUUUAUGAGUAAAUUACAUUUGCAUGUGUUACAUUUCUCUGGAAAUAUCGUGAGUAACUUUAAUCAAAUAAUCAACUUAAUAGGUAAUAACAUCUUCAACUGUGGUUUUCUGGUAGACAACAUAAUAGUUCACAAAAAGGCGUUUCCAUGGCACAGAUGUUAAGAUACACACUGGCCACUUUAUAGCAAGGCAUCCUGGGGAUCCGAAAGGAUCAAUCCAAUGUUGGAAACAUGGUUAUACAGUUCAAUCGAUUCUCAAAAUGUUCACAUCGAUGCAUUUUUCUUAAAAUUCCUUGAUUAGUGGCUACAUCAUAGUUUCCCAAACUGUGGGUCGCGACCCCCAGGGGGGUCGUGAGCUAGUCUUUGGUGGGUCGCGAAAAAAUUACAAAGUACGAAUUUAUUUCCAAAGUUUUUUUCUAUGUUUCCUUAAACUUAAAUUCUUACUUUAUGACAAAACAAGUUUUUUUCAAAUGAUCAGGAAUUCAGUCAGUUGGCACUAUCUAUAUUAUUCUAAGGUUAAGGUCUAAGGCUGAGAAGAACGUCGCCAAUACAGCCUUCUUUAAUCGUUCUUUCUUAAUAAGCCAUACUCGAACUUCCAUGAGUCGAAGAGAAUAUUUUCCCAUGGAAAUAUCGACUGUGAUGAACAUUAUAGUACUCAGGUUUUUUUUUUAAUUUUCAAUAUGGUUCACGGUUUCAAAAUCUCUAUUAUCAUCAAACCUGCAUGCUUCUCCGAUAUUUCUACGAAAACGUUCAGCAUUCGGUCUAAGAUUUUGUGGUUAGAAGGAUAAAAAAUAUUCUGUCGAAAAAA